rnacentral:pre_miRNA from 1 species
UUUUUUUAUAAUUAGUAUUUUCAUUGUUGUUAGAUGAUAAAACAUGAUUAAUACUUUAUGCGUGACUUGUCUUUUUAUUUUAUUUAUUUUUUUCAAAUAAGACAGACGGUCAAACGUUGGACACGGAAAACCAGGGUUUGUCGUCCC